UCCCUGACAGUCCAGUGGUUAAGACUCCACACUCCCAAUGCAGGUGGCACAGGUUUGAUCCCUGGUCAGGGAA
rnacentral:tRNA from 1 species